AGCGAGGGGAAAAAGAGUUAUUACUCAGUUCUUUAUUCUAGAAUAAAUCAAAUCAACAAAUAUUUAUUGAAUGUCUACUAUAUGCAAAUACUAGCCAGCUUUUAAAAGCCAUCCAACUUUUCACAUUGAAAAAUCAAAGCAUUAUCAUUUCAAGCACUGCAGAAGCUGCUCCGUGUCCUGUAGGUGGGAGAGCCUGUGGGGACCCUACAGUUACGUGGGAUAAAAGAAGACAAGGAAGAGAAAGUUCACUCACAGGCUGGAAGAAGAAAAAGAAUAACCUAACAUAGCCCCACCGAUGGAUUGCAUCAAUGAAGUUAGAAACAAGGUCACCAGCCAGGUUUGGGAGAAAGGAGAUGAAAGAGCCUGGAGGUGUGAGUCAUCUGUUGAGAAGUUGUCUGGUGAAUCAACAAAAGAUGCUAUUUUCUAUAAAGUCCUCCAUUUUAUUUUUUUUUAAAUGCAACUGUUGCUGUAUACAGUGGAUUUGUGGAGGAUUUAGUGGUUGAACACUGGCUACUACGCCACCCUUCCUGUUGCUGAAGACACGGCUAAAACAAAAAGGGCUAUGUUUUACUCUAUUAAAGGUAAUUAUUAAAACACAGAUUAUUCCACAAACAGUAUUGUCUGGUAAUAGUUGCAAGCCUCCAUUAAAAUAUGACCUCAAAAAAUGCAGCCCUUGUUUUAUUUAAGGAGGCUAU